rnacentral:rRNA from 1 species
AUUGAACGCUGGCGGCAGGCCUAACACAUGCAAGUCGAGCGGAUGACGGGAGCUUGCUCCUUGAUUCAGCGGCGGACGGGUGAGUAAUGCCUAGGAAUCUGCCUGGUAGUGGGGGACAACGUUUCGAAAGGAACGCUAAUACCGCAUACGUCCUACGGGAGAAAGCAGGGGACCUUAGGGCCUUGCGCUAUCAGAUGAGCCUAGGUCGGAUUAGCUAGUAGGUGAGGUAAUGGCUCACCUAGGCGACGAUCCGUAACUGGUCUGAGAGGAUGAUCAGUCACACGGGAACUGAGAAACGGUCCAGACUCCUACGGGAGGCAGCAGUGGGGAAUAUUGGACAAUGGGCGAAAGCCGGAUCCAGCCAUGCCGCGUGUGUGAAGAAGGUCUUCGGAUUGUAAAGCACUUUAAGUUGGGAGGAAGGGCAGUAAGUUAAUACCUUGCUGUUUUGACGUUACCGACAGAAUAAGCACCGGCUAACUCUGUGCCAGCCGCCGCAGUAAGAC